GACGAACGCUGGCGGCAGGCCUAACACAUGCAAGUCGAGCGCGCCCUUCGGGGUGAGCGGCGGACGGGUGAGUAACGCGUGGGAACGUGCCCUUUUCUACGGAAUAGCCUCGGGAAACUGAGAGUAAUACCGUAUACGCCCUUUGGGGGAAAGAUUUAUCGGAAAAGGAUCGGCCCGCGUUGGAUUAGGUAGUUGGUGGGGUAAUGGCCUACCAAGACGACGAUCCAUAGCUGGUUUGAGAGGAUGAUCAGCCACACUGGGACUGAGACACGGCCCAGACUCCUACGGGAGGCAGCAGUGGGGGAUCUUAGACAAUGGGGGCAACGCUGAUAUAGCCAUGCCGCGUGAGUGAUGAAGGCCUUAGGGUUGUAAAGCUCUUUCAGCUGGGAAGAUAAUGACGGUACCAGCAGAAGAAGCCCCGGCUAACUCCGUG
rnacentral:rRNA from 1 species